rnacentral:rRNA from 1 species
UGAGGAAUAUUGGACAAUGGGGGCAACCCUGAUCCAGCCAUGCCGCGUGAGUGAUGAAGGCCUUCGGGUCGUAAAACUCUUUGAGUGGGGAAGAUAAUGACGGUACCCACAGAACAAGCCACGGCAAACUUCGUGCCAGCAGCCGCGGUAAUACGAAGGUGGCAAGCGUUACUCGGAAUUACUGGGCGUAAAGCGCGUGUAGGCGGAAACGCAAGUCAGGGGUGAAAUCCCAGAGCUUAACUCUGGAAUUGCCUUUGAAACUAUGUUUCUUGAGUGUAGUAGAGGAUAGUGGAAUUUCCAGUGUAGAGGUGAAAUUCGUAGAUAUUGGAAGGAACACCAGAGGCGAAGGCGACUAUCUGGGCUACAACUGACGCUGAGACGCGAAAGCGUGGGGAGCAAA